rnacentral:tRNA from 2 species
GCCCCGUUCGUCUAGCGGCCCAGGACGCCGCCCUCUCACGGCGGUAACACCGGUUCAAAUCCGGUACGGGGUACGA